GAUGAACGCUGGCGGCGUGCCUAAUACAUGCAAGUCGAGCGAACAGACGAGGAGCUUGCUCCUCUGACGUUAGCGGCGGACGGGUGAGUAACACGUGGAUAACCUACCUAUAAGACUGGGAUAACUUCGGGAAACCGGAGCUAAUACCGGAUAAUAUAUUGAACCGCAUGGUUCAAUAGUGAAAGACGGUUUUGCUGUCACUUAUAGAUGGAUCCGCGCCGCAUUAGCUAGUUGGUAAGGUAGCGGCUUACCAAGGGAACGAUGCGUAGCCGACCUGAGAGGGUGAUCGGCCACACUGGAACUGAGACACGGUCCAGGCUCCUGCGGGAGGCAGCAGUAGGGAAUCUUACGCAAUGGGCGAGAGCUUGACGGAGCAACGCCGCGUGAGUGGUGAAGGUCUUCGGAUCGUAAAACUCUGUUAUUAGUGAAAAACAAAUGUGUAAGUAACUAUGCACGUCUUGACGGUACCUAAUCAGAAAGCCACGGCUAACUACGUG
rnacentral:rRNA from 1 species